rnacentral:rRNA from 1 species
UAGUCUCGCACAGAUGCAUAUCAAUAAGCGGAGGAAAAGAAACUAACUAGGAUUCCCUCAGUAACGGCGAGUGAAGCGGGAAGAGCUCAAAUUUGAAAUCUUCAAGGUUCUACCUUGACGAAUUGUAGUUUAAAGAAGUGUUUUCUGUUGAGGUUUUGGUAAAAGUUCUUUGGAAUAGGACAUCAUAGAGGGUGAGAAUCCCGUAUUUGACCAUUACUUUCCACUUUGUGAUACACUUUCAAAGAGUCGGAUUGUUUGGGAAUGCAGUCCAAAAUGGGUGGUAAAUUUCAUCUAAAGCUAAAUACUGGCGAGAGACCGAUAGCGAACAAGUACCGUGAGGGAGAGAUGAAAAGAACUUUGAAAAGAGAGUUAAACAGUACGUGAAAUUGUCAAAAGGGAAGCGUUUGACACCAGUGUUGUUUUUCUCGAAAAUCAAUUAAAGAAGCAUGAUUUAUGUAAGUUGUAUUAGACUUUAUCAGCUUCUGCACUCGUUUCGUUUGAGCUUUUCUUUAAUGCACUUUUCAGUUAACAAGUCAACAUCAAUUUCUUUUGUUGUAAAAAGGGUCAUUGGAAGGUGGCUUGCGAUUUCGUAUAAGUGUUUAUAGCCUCUUGCCUCUGCAGUCGGAGAGAUUGAGGUCUGCAGCGUAGAUCCUUCGGGGUUAAAUAGCAUUUGUGCUAAGUUAUAACCUUUCAUAGACAACUUGUUGACUAUGAUCUGUCAUGUAGCUUACUCGCUUAUGCUAUUUUACCUACGCUUAGGAUGUUGAAGUCAUCGUAUCGCGC